ACGGAGGGUGCAAGCGUUGUCCGGAAUUAUUGGGCGUAAAGCGCGUGUAGGUGGCCUGUUAUGUCGGAUGUGAAAUCCUGCGGCUUAACCGCAGAACUGCGUUCGAAACUGGCAGGCUUGAGUGCGAGAGGGGGAGGUGGAAUUCCCGGUGUAGAGGUGAAAUUCGUAGAUAUCGGGAAGAAUACCGGUGGCGAAGGCGACCUCCUGGCUCGUAACUGACACUCAGACGCGAAAGCGUGGGGAGCAAACAG
rnacentral:rRNA from 1 species